AGGAUAGGUGACAGGAUAGGUGACAGGAUAGCUAAUAAGAUAGGUGACAGGAUAGGUGACCGGAUAGGUGACAGGAUAGGUAAAAUGAUAGGUAACAGGAUAGGUAACAAGAUAGGUAACAGGAUAGCUAACAGGAUAGGUAACAGGAUAGGUGACAGGAUAGGUAAUAGGAUAGGUAACAGGAUAUGUGACAGGAUAGGUCAAAUGAUAGGUAACAGGAUAGGUAACAGGAUAGGUCAAAUGAUAGGUAACAGGAUA